rnacentral:rRNA from 1 species
GAAGUUUUCAGAGAUGAGAAUGUGCCUUCGGGAACCGUGAGACAGGUGCUGCAUGGCUGUCGUCAGCUCGUGUUGUGAAAUGUUGGGUUAAGUCCCGCAACGAGCGCAACCCUUAUCCUUUGUUGCCAGCGGUCCGGCCGGGAACUCAAAGGAGACUGCCAGUGAUAAACUGGAGGAAGGUGGGGAUGACGUCAAGUCAUCAUGGCCCUUACGACCAGGGCUACACACGUGCUACAAUGGCGCAUACAAAGAGAAGCGACCUCGCGAGAGCAAGCGGACCUCAUAAAGUGCGUCGUAGUCCGGAUUGGAGUCUGCAACUCGACUCCAUGAAGUCGGAAUCGCUAGUAAUCGUGGAUCAGAAUGCCACGGUGAAUACGUUCCCGGGCCUUGUACACACCGCCCGUCACACCAUGGGAGUGAGUUGCAAAAGAAGUAGGUAGCUUAACCUUCGGGAGGGCGCUUACCACUUUGUGAUUCAUGACUGGGGUGAAGUCGUAACAAGGUAACCGUAGGGGAACCUGCGGUUGGA